rnacentral:rRNA from 1 species
AUUGAACGCUGGCGGCAGGCUUAACACAUGCAAGUCGAGCGGAGAUGAGGUGCUUGCACCUUAUCUUAGCGGCGGACGGGUGAGUAAUGCCUAGGAAUCUGCCUAUUAGUGGGGGACAACAUUCCGAAAGGAAUGCUAAUACCGCAUACGUCCUACGGGAGAAAGCAGGGGAUCUUCGGACCUUGCGCUAAUAGAUGAGCCUAAGUCGGAUUAGCUAGUUGGUGGGGUAAAGGCCUACCAAGGCGACGAUCUGUAGCGGGUCUGAGAGGAUGAUCCGCCCAACUGGGACUGAGACACGGCCCAGACUCCUACGGGAGGCAGCAGUGGGGAAUAUUGGACAAUGGGGGGAACCCUAAUCCAGCCAUGCCGCGUGUGUGAAGAAGGCCUUAUGGUUGUAAAGCACUUUAAGCGAGGAGGAGGCUACUGAGACUAAUACUCUUGGAUAGUGGACGUUACUCGCAGAAUAAGCACCGGCUAACUCUGUGCCAGCCGCCGCAGUAAGAC